rnacentral:rRNA from 1 species
AACGAACGCUGGCGGCAGGCUUAACACAUGCAAGUCGAACGGGCCCUUCGGGGUCAGUGGCAGACGGGUGAGUAACGCGUGGGAACGUGCCCUUCAGUUUGGAAUAACCCAGGGAAACUUGGGCUAAUACCGGAUACGCCCUUCGGGGGAAAGAUUUAUCGCUGAAGGAUCGGCCCGCGUCUGAUUAGCUGGUUGGUGAGGUAAUGGCUCACCAAGGCGACGAUCAGUAGCUGGUCUGAGAGGAUGAUCAGCCACAUUGGGACUGAGACACGGCCCAAACUCCUACGGGAGGCAGCAGUGGGGAAUAUUGGACAAUGGGCGCAAGCCUGAUCCAGCCAUGCCGCGUGAGUGAUGACGGCCUUAGGGUUGUAAAGCUCUUUCGCACGCGACGAUAAUGACGGUAGCGUGAGAAGAAGCCCCGGCUAACUUCGUGCCAGCAGCCGCCGUAACAC